UUAGCGGCGGACGGGUGAGUAACACGUGGGUAACCUGCCCAUAAGACUGGGAUAACUCCGGGAAACCGGGGCUAAUACCGGAUAACAUUUUGAACCGCAUGGUUCGAAAUUGAAAGGCGGCUUCGGCUGUCACUUAUGGAUGGACCCGCGUCGCAUUAGCUAGUUGGUGAGGUAACGGCUCACCAAGGCAACGAUGCGUAGCCGACCUGAGAGGGUGAUCGGCCACACUGGGACUGAGACACGGCCCAGACUCCUACGGGAGGCAGCAGUAGGGAAUCUUCCGCAAUGGACGAAAGUCUGACGGAGCAACGCCGCGUGAGUGAUGAAGGCUUUCGGGUCGUAAAACUCUGUUGUUAGGGAAGAACAAGUGCUAGUUGAAUAAGCUGGCACCUUGACGGUACCUAACCAGAAAGCCACGGCUAACUACGUGCCAGCAGCCGCGGUAAUACGUAGGUGGCAAGCGUUCCCGGAAUUAUUGGCCGUAAAGCGCGCGCAGCCGUUUCUUAAGU
rnacentral:rRNA from 2 species